rnacentral:rRNA from 1 species
UACGUAGGGGGCAAGCGUUGUCCGGAUUUAUUGGGCGUAAAGAGCGUGUAGGCGGCCAUACAGGUCAGCUGUGAAAACUCGAGGCUCAACCUCGAGCUGUCGGUGGAAACUAUCUGGCUAGAGUCCGGAAGAGGAGAAUGGAAUUCCUGGUGUAGCGGUGAAAUGCGCAGAUAUCAGGAAGAACACCCGUGGCGAAGGCGGUUCUCUGGGACGGUACUGACGCUGAGACGCGAAAGCGUGGGGAGCGAACAGG